UUAAGCGAACAAGCGUACACGGUGGAUGCCCUGGCAGUCAGAGGCGAUGAAGGACGUGCUAAUCUGCGAAAAGCGCCGGUAAGGUGAUAUGAACCGUUAUAACCGGCGAUGUCCGAAUGGGGAAAACCCGGUGCACUUCGGUGCAUCAUCGUUAGCUGAAUACAUAGGCUAACGAGGCGAACCGGGGAACUGAAACAUCUAAGUACCCCGAGGAAAAGAAAUCAACCGAGAUUCCCCCAGUAGCGGCGAGCGAACGGGGAACAGCCCAGAGCCUGAAUCAGCUUGUGUGUCAGUGGAACGGUCUGGAAAGGCCGGCGAUACAGGGUGACAGCCCGUACACGAAGGCACACAGGCUGUGAGCUCGAUGAGUAGGGCGGGACACGUGAUAUCCUGUCUGAAGAUGGGGGGACCAUCCUCCAAGGCUAAAUACUCCUGACUGACCGAUAGUGAACCAGUACCGUGAGGGAAAGGCGAAAAAGAACCCCGGCGAGGGGAGUGAAACAGAACCUGAAACCGUGUACGUACAAGCAGUGGGGAGCCUUCGUAAGAGGGUGACUGCGUACCUUUUGUAUAAUGGGUCAGCGACUUAUAUUCUGUAGCAAGGUUAACCGUAUAGGGGAGCCGAAGGGAAACCGAGUCUUAACCGGGCGUUAAGUUGCAGGGUAUAGACCCGAAACCCGGUGAUCUAGCCAUGGGCAGGUUGAAGGUUGGGUAACACUAACUGGAGGACCGAACCGACUAAUGUUGAAAAAUUAGCGGAUGACCUGUGGCUGGGGGUGAAAGGCCAAUCAAACCGGGAGAUAGCUGGUUCUCCCCGAAAGCUUAUUUAGGUAGCGCCUCGUGAACUCAUCUCCGGGGGUAGAGCACUGUUUCGGCUAGGGGGCCAUCCCGGCUUACCAACCCGAUGCAAACUGCGAAUACCGGAGAAUGUUAUCACGGGAGACACACGGCGGGUGCUAACGUCCGUCGUGAAGAGGGAAACAACCCAGACCGCCAGCUAAGGUCCCAAAGUCAUGGUUAAGUGGGAAACGAUGUGGAAGGCCCAGAACAGCCAGGAUGUUGGCUUAGAAGCAGCCAUCAUUUAAAGAAAGCGUAAUAGCUCACUGGUCGAGUCGGCCUGCGCGAAGAUGUAACGGGGCUAAACAUGCACCGAAGCUGCGGCAGCGACGCUUAUGCGUUGUUGGGUAGGGGAGCGUUCUGUAAGCCUGCGAAGGUGUGCUGUGAGGCAUGCUGGAGGUAUCAGAAGUGCGAAUGCUGACAUAAGUAACGAUAAAGCGGGUGAAAAGCCCGCUCGCCGGAAGACCAAGGGUUCCUGUCCAACGUUAAUCGGGGCAGGGUGAGUCGACCCCUAAGGCGAGGCCGAAAGGCGUAGUCGAUGGGAAACAGGUUAAUAUUCCUGUACUUGGUGUUACUGCGAAGGGGGGACGGAGAAGGCUAUGUCGGCCGGGCGACGGUUGUCCCGGUUUAAGCGUGUAGGCUGACUUUCCAGGCAAAUCCGGAAAGUUAAGGCUGAGGCGUGAUGACGAGGCACCACGGUGCUGAAGUGACAAAUGCCCUGCUUCCAGGAAAAGCCUCUAAGCAUCAGGUAACAUCAAAUCGUACCCCAAACCGACACAGGUGGUCAGGUAGAGAAUACCAAGGCGCUUGAGAGAACUCGGGUGAAGGAACUAGGCAAAAUGGUGCCGUAACUUCGGGAGAAGGCACGCUGACAUGUAGGUGAAGCCCCUGCGGGUGGAGCUGAAGUCAGUCGAAGAUACCAGCUGGCUGCAACUGUUUAUUAAAAACACAGCACUGUGCAAACACGAAAGUGGACGUAUACGGUGUGACGCCUGCCCGGUGCCGGAAGGUUAAUUGAUGGGGUUAUCGCAAGAGAAGCUCCUGAUCGAAGCCCCGGUAAACGGCGGCCGUAACUAUAACGGUCCUAAGGUAGCGAAAUUCCUUGUCGGGUAAGUUCCGACCUGCACGAAUGGCGUAAUGAUGGCCAGGCUGUCUCCACCCGAGACUCAGUGAAAUUGAACUCGCUGUGAAGAUGCAGUGUACCCGCGGCAAGACGGAAAGACCCCGUGAACCUUUACUACAGCUUGACACUGAACAUUGAGCCUUGAUGUGUAGGAUAGGUGGGAGGCUUUGAAGCGUGGACGCCAGUCUGCGUGGAGCCGACCUUGAAAUACCACCCUUUAAUGUUUGAUGUUCUAACCUGGCGCCAUAAUCUGGCGUGGGGACAGUGUCUGGUGGGUAGUUUGACUGGGGCGGUCUCCUCCCAAAGUGUAACGGAGGAGCACGAAGGUCAGCUAAUCCUGGUCG
rnacentral:rRNA from 1 species